ensembl:lncRNA
GGAUAAGAUCUGAGUACUUAUUCCUGCUCUGAUGAAUUUUCAGAACCUUGACCGUGAGCUGAGAGGAUGAAGAUGAAGAUGGUGAAGAUGAAGAUGAUGAAUAUGAGGGAGAAGACGGGGAAAUGAAGAUGAUGAAGUGUGAAAGCAGCAGCACCGUGUUGACUCAGACUGUGGAGAAUCCUCAGGCCUUCAGGUUAAAGGUGAAGGACCACACAGAGAGGCCACUUACACACGUACAGACACACACACGCACACACGGUGUAAUGUGAGUCUGCGUCUGUGAUCUGCUCAUCACAACAUUUACUGAUGUUUAACACACAACCAGCAGAGUGUGUUUACUGCUCCCUGUGUGUUCAACACACACACAAACUACUAAAAUAUAAACAUGUAUUGGAACAUGUAUGAUGUUUAUUACUUUGUAAAGAUUCAAACAUUUUUUAUAAACUGUGACUGUUUACUGAAGGCUUUUCCUGCAUUUUAAUGUACUUUAUUACGUUAAAACAUUAAACCUAACUUUAUCAGCUCUUUUUUAAAUAUGCUUUAUGGACAACUUGUCUUUCUCUUAAAACAUUUAUAAUAUGUAUUAUAUUCAAAGCCCAAAACCCGCUGGCCUUUAGAACGGAACAAACCAAAAAGGACCCUGAACGCCUCACCAGCUCAGCAGCAUCAGACGGCGUUCAGGUGUAACCUCUGAGGAGUCUAACUGGUUUCACACCAGUUCAAGGUUGAGGUCGAUGUUCUUCCUUGACUGGGACUCUUCAUCCAAUCCAAACUCACAAACACAACAAACCACACAACUGUCUGCAGAGCGGAUGAGUGACGGGAGGGGCUGGCUGCUUCCAGGGGGGUCAGCUGGUCCAGAAGGAAAGAAAGGCCUGCUCCCAGUCCCCGAGCACCCCAAGGGUCAACAGGACCCCACACCCUCGACACGAACCCCGCCCAGACCCAAUCGGACCUCCGCAUGCUGCUCGGUAAUCACCUGGGCUGGACCUCAGUGUAACAGAUCCCAGGUUCUCUGCAGGAGGGAGGUCAGCUUCUACAUGAUGCAGUAAGAGACCAGAUAGAGACCAGAUAUGGGCCCCAUAGAGAGCAGAUAGAGGCCCAAUAUAGGCCAGAUAAAGACCAGAUAGAGAAAAGAUAGAGACCAGCUAGAGGCCUGAUAGAGACCAUAUAGAGACCAGAUAGAGGGAUGGCCAAGACCUGAUAGAGACCAGAUAGAGGCCGAAUAGAGACCUUAUAGACACCAGAUAAAGGCCUGAUAGAGAAAAGAUAGAGACCCAAUAGAGACCAGAUAGAGGCCUGAGAGAGACCUGUUAGAGACCAGAUAGAGGCCAGAUAAAGGCCUGAUAGAGACCAGAUAAAGACCCAACAUACAUAUACCCCCAAAAGCGGUAUUAAGAUUAGAGGGAAUUGCAGUUUGAGUUCAGUUUCCACAACUCGUGAUGUAUAUGUAUUUAUAUAUGUAUGUAUAAACCUGUAUUUAUAUAAGUAGAUAUACAUGCAUAUUUAUAUACACACACAUUCAGUGUACCAAGCUGCUCUCAGAGGUGAAGAGGUUGUGAGGCCUGAAAGAGUUCAUUUAAAACUAAAUUUACGAUCUGAACUUCGUCUCCGUCUCGUUUUACCGCCGAGCGUCCCGUCAGCGGGAUCCACCCAACCCGCCCGAGCAGGUGUCUCCAUCUUGUUUUUCUUUCAAAUGGCAGAGAUCUCAUCUUCAUUCGGG